UACGGAGGAUCCGAGCGUUAUCCAGAUUUAUUGGGUUUAAAGGGUGCGCAGGCGGGGGAUUAAGUCGGCGGUGAAAUUUUGCAGCUCAACUGUAAAAGUGCCGUUGAUACUGGGGAGCUAGGAUUUGGUUGCUGUGGGUGGAAUGUGUGGUGUAGCGGUGAAAUGCUUAGAGAUCACACAGAAUACCGAUUGCGAAGGCAGCUCACAAAGCCAAGAUUGACGCUGAGGCACGAAAGUGUGGGGAUCAAACAGGAUUAGAUA
rnacentral:rRNA from 1 species